rnacentral:rRNA from 1 species
UACAGAGGCCUCGAGCGUUAAGGCGGAAUCAGCUGGGCUUAAAGCGUGUGUAGGCGGUAUUGGUAAGUACCUUAUCGAAAUCCCACAGCUUAACUGUGGAACUGCUCGGUAUACUGCUGAUCUUGAGCCACUCAGGGGCUACCGGAACAAAUGGUGGAGCGGUGAAAUGCGUAGAUAUCAUUUGGAACGCCAAUGGUGAAAACAGGUAGCUGGGGGUGUGCUGACGCUGAGACACGAAAGCCAGGGGAGCAAACGGG